rnacentral:lncRNA from 1 species
UUUGUCUCCAUAGAAACUUCCCUGCUGUCUGCAAGAGGCCAGUAAAGAGCUUUAUUUCUCUGUAGCUAUCCCUUAGCAUAACAGAUACAGAAAAAGAGUGAGGAGAUCGGCAGAACUUUAAGAGAGCAGCAACAGCAGGGUCAUGACAGUGCUGGUGAGGCAAAAGCAACUUUAUCCUGAUAUUUAAGCUGGGAUGCUUCCCUGCAUCUCUUGGCUGCAGGUUUCAAAUCCACUUAAGGGACUUGAAGACUCAGCUCCCAUGAAUUUUCAAUGGAAAGGGACCACCUAAGUCCUCUAGGCAGCUGAGGAGUUAUAGCAACUGAAAAGCCGAGGCAUGGGCUACAGGUCUUCUGAGGAUAACAUCCAUCCUGAGAUUUGUGGCAUCUUGGGUGAAGCUGGAAAUUGUAAGAUACAGAGCCAAGCAUCCUUCUAGACAGGAAUGCAAAGGCUAAAAAGGUUUCAGCGGGUAACAAGGAUUUACCAUCCCUGUCAACCUCAGCUUCCUUCUGAGACCUGAGCAUACAACAUUGCUCAUCUCUAGGCAAACUGCUUCAGACAAAGAGGAAAUUCCAAGCCCAGGUUUGUUCUGCAGAGAGGAGAUAAAAAGUCAUCUGUUAGAGUGCCAGGUAAGUGCUAUCCUUUCACACUCUACAGAAGAGAAAGAGCUGGUAACAAGCACUGUCGGGUGUCCGAGAGGCAAUGAAGAGGACAUUAGCACACAGGAUCAUGGCAGCAAUUGCUGCCUGAGAACUGCAUGAUACUCAUCUUUAUGGCUCCCUGAAGCCUUGGAGUGGCGUGGCAGAGGAACAGCAGGGUCAAAAGAAUCCCUCAAAGCUCAGCCCUC